UGCAAGUCGAGCGGACCAAAGAAGAGCUUGCUCUUCGGCGGUUAGCGGCGGACGGGUGAGUAACACGUAGGCAACCUGCCUGUACGACUGGGAUAACUCCGGGAAACCGGAGCUAAUACCGGAUACGUUUUUCAGACCGCAUGGUCUGAAAGAGAAAGACCUUUGGUCACGUACAGAUGGGCCUGCGGCGCAUUAGCUAGUUGGUGGGGUAACGGCCUACCAAGGCGACGAUGCGUAGCCGACCUGAGAGGGUGAUCGGCCACACUGGGACUGAGACACGGCCCAGACUCCUACGGGAGGCAGCAGUAGGGAAUCUUCCGCAAUGGACGAAAGUCUGACGGAGCAACGCCGCGUGAACGAUGAAGGUUUUCGGAUCGUAAAGUUCUGUUGUUAGGGAAGAACCGCCGGGAUGACCUCCCGGUCUGACGGUACCUAACGAGAAAGCCCCGGCUAACUACGUGCCAGCAGCCGCGGUAAUACGUAGGGGGCAAGCGUUGUCCGGAAUUAUUGGGCGUAAAGCGCGCGCAGGCGGCUUCUUAAGUCAGGUGUGAAAGCCCACGGCUCAACCGUGGAGGGCCACUUGAAACUGGGAGGCUUGAGUGCAGGAGAGGAGAGCGGAAUUCCACGUGUAGCGGUGAAAUGCGUAGAGAUGUGGAGGAACACCCGUGGCGAAGGCGGCUCUCUGGCCUGUAACUGACGCUGAGGCGCGAAAGCGUGGGGAGCGAACAGGAUUAGAUACCCUGGGUAGUCCACGCCGUAAACGUUGAGUGCUAGGUGUUGGGGACUCCAAUCCUCAGUGCCGCAGCUAACGCAAUAGCACUCCGCCUGGGGAGUACGGCCGCAGGCUGAACUCAAGGAUUGACGGGACUCGCCACAGCGGUGGAGCAUGUUGGUUUAAUUCGA
rnacentral:rRNA from 1 species